GACGUAGGGGGCAAGCGUUGUCCGGAAUCAUUGGGCGUAAAGCGCGUGUAGGCGGCCCGGUAAGUCCGCUGUGAAAGUCGGGGGCUCAACCCUCGAAUGCCGGUGGAGUACUGUCGGGCUAGGAGUGCGGAAGAGGCGAGUGGAAUUCCAGGGUGAUAGUCGGUGGAAAUGACGUAGAUAUCUGGAGGAACACCGGUGGCGAAGGCGGCAUCCUGGACCGGCAUUGACGCUGAGGCGCGAAAGCCAGGGGAGCCAAACGGGG
rnacentral:rRNA from 1 species